UACAUCAGUGUUAUGUUAUUUUUAUGACUUCAUCUUUAUACAGUCGGGUUCGGGUUCGGCGGCCAUAGCGAAUUUCGGCGAGAUUUUACCCCAGUGAAAAAGGCUUGUAAUCUACCUUUCCUCAAACCUGGAAGAUAUGUUUUGUUCCUAACCAAUCCAUUCUCUAAGUGAAGUGAAGCCUGGCUGUUGGUCUUCCUUUGGGAAAUAUACAGGGAAAAGAAAAAAAACUACUUGAGUGUUUCUACUGACCCCCCAGAGAUCUGCUUAUGAGUGCAUGGGGAUUGCGGUGGACCUUCAUCUCCUGUUUAAAACAGACAUUAGAGUAUGACAGAUAAAAAAGUAGAAUCCAUGACCUCCCACAGGCAGGGAGCUGGCUCUGACUGUAGAAUGAGCUGAAAGUAGGAGAAAACCUGUAUUUAUACAGUGGAUGACGUCACAAUGCAUAGGUAAGCAUAUUUUUUUUUUUUUUGCA